rnacentral:rRNA from 1 species
UACAGAGGGUGCAAGCGUUAAUCGGAAUUACUGGGCGUAAAGCGUGCGUAGUCGGUUAUUUAGGUCGGGUGUGAAAGCCCCGGGCUCAACCUGGGAAUUGCAUUCGAUACUGGAUAGCUAGAGUUCGGCAGAGGGAAGCGGAAUUUCCGGUGUAGCGGUGAAAUGCGUAGAUAUCGGAAGGAACAUCAGUGGCGAAAGCGGCUUCCUGGACCAGAACUGACGAUCAGGCACGAAAGCUAGGGGAGCGAACGGG